CCUACGCAACGUUCAUCGGCGUAGGGUGAGUCGGCCCCUAAGGCGAGGCAGAAAUGCGUAGCUGAUGGGAAGCAGGUUAAUAUUCCUGCACCAUUGUUGAAUGCGAUGGGGGGACGGAUCGCGGAAGGUUGUCCGGGUGUUGGAAGUCCCGGUCCUUGCAUUGGAGAAGGCGCUUUGGCAAAUCCGGGCGCGGGAUUCAAGGGUGCGAGGCCAGUGACCUAGGUCACGAAGCAAUCGGAAGUGGUUCCAGGAAAAGCCUCUAAGCUUCAGUUCAACAAGACCGUACCGCAAACCGACACAGGUGGGCGAGAUGAGUAUUCUAAGGCGCUUGAGAGAACUCGGGAGAAGGAACUCG
rnacentral:rRNA from 1 species